AUUUGUUGCAGUAUCCAUGACUCUAUGGACACAACACUGGUGUCCACUGGGGAAACAAGCUUUUGUAAUUGGUCAUGGCAUCAACGCAGGUUGCUUUCCAGCAGUCUUGAAGAAUUGCAGAGUGGAUCAUUACAAAAGAAUCCUCACAUGGAGCUGAGCAAUUACCAGACUCUGCCGGGGAAACUCAUGAUAAAUAAGAGAGAGCAGAGAGCCAGGAAGCAUGGCGACAGAGAGGGAGAAGAAGAGUAUCUGUCUCCAGUCCACUGCCUCCAGCAGGAGGACUACGGUCUCAGUGAGUUUCUCCAUUCAUCACUGAUACAUCUUUAAAUCAUACAGUUUUGGAAAAUUCAGUAUUUUCUACUUCUGAAAAAAGAAAAUGUUUCAAUGAAAGGUUUUGAGA